UGGGGAAUAUUGCACAAUGGGCGCAAGCCUGACGCAGCCAUGCCGCGUGUGUGAAGAAGGCCUUCGGGUUGUAAAGCACUUUCAGCGAGGAGGAAGGUGGUGAACUUAAUACGUUCAUCAAUUGACGUUACUCGCAGAAGAAGCACCGGCUAACUCCGUGCCAGCAGCCGCGGUAAUACGGAGGGUGCAAGCGUUAAUCGGAAUUACUGGGCGUAAAGCGCACGCAGGCGGUUUGUUAAGUCAGAUGUGAAAUCCCCGGGCUCAACCUGGGAACUGCAUUUGAAACUGGCAAGCUAGAGUCUCGUAGAGGGGGGUAGAAUUCCAGGUGUAGCGGUGAAAUGCGUAGAGAUCUGGAGGAAUACCGGUGGCGAAGGCGGCCCCCCUGGACGAAGACUGACGCUCAGGUGCGAAAAGCGUGGGGAGCAAAACAGGGUUAGAUACCCUGGUAGUCCACGCUGUAAACGAUGUCGAUUUGGAGGUUGUGCCCUUGAGGCGUGGCUUCCGGAGCUAACGCGUUAAAUCGACCGCCUGGGGAGUACGGCCGCAAGGUU
rnacentral:rRNA from 1 species